GCAAGUCGAACGGUAACAUUUCUAGCUUGCUAGAAGAUGACGAGUGGCGGACGGGUGAGUAAUGCUUGGGAACUUGCCUUUACGAGGGGGAUAACAGUUGGAAACGACUGCUAAUACCGCAUAAUGUCUUCGGACCAAACGGGGCUUCGGCUCCGGCGCAAAGAGAGGCCCAAGUGAGAUUAGCUAGUUGGUAAGGUAACGGCUUACCAAGGCGACGAUCUCUAGCUGUUCUGGGAGGAAGAUCAGCCACACUGGGACUGAGACACGGCCCAGACUCCUACGGGAGGCAGCAGUGGGGAAUAUUGCACAAUGGGGGAAACCCUGAUGCAGCCAUGCCGCGUGUGUGAAGAAGGCCUUCGGGUUGUAAAGCACUUUCAGUUGUGAGGAAAAGUUAGUAGUUAAUACCUGCUAGCCGUGACGUUAACAACAGAAGAAGCACCGGCUAACUCCGUGCCAGCAGCCGCGGUAAUACGGAGGGUGCGAGCGUUAAUCGGAAUUACUGGGCGUAAAGCGCACGCAGGCGGUUUGUUAAGCUAGAUGUGAAAGCCCCGGGCUCAACCUGGGAUGGUCAUUUA
rnacentral:rRNA from 1 species